AAAUGUUUAUUGCUUCCAUUGGUCAAAUGCGUUGGUGGUCUUCGAGUAAUCGCGAGCCGUGGUCUGUCCAGAGAUCUCUGCAAGGAGCUGGUGGAAGGGUGCUCGUCUCUAGACAGCUCCUGCUUCUCCAUCUCCACGGUCUCUGGUGGCAUCACCAAGCUAUAUUGUCAUAUAACUUAAUGAAUGCACCACUGUAAGAUUGCUUGCUGGUACUAUUUAUCAAGGCGGGUGAUGGCGGCGGCAGCGGGGUACAGCAGCGGCCUCGGGUGGUGGAGGAUGGUGUACGUCGAGGCACCAACAGGUGCAGCUUGUUGGUUGUGGCUUGGCAAGCGUCGUCUCGGCGAGUGCCGGUGCGGCUUCUUCUUUUUUCCUUCCGGUGAGCACCUUGUGCUGGGCACUGGAGUAUUGCAUGCCCUUUUUGGAUGAGAUUUGUGUAUCCACGUGCUGCUGCCCAUCUACAUGACUUGAGGUUGUCCCGUUUGUUCU